GAGUUUGAUCGUGGCUCAGAGUGAACGCUGGCGGUAGGCCUAACACAUGCAAGUCGAACGGCAGCACAGCAGUAGCAAUACUGUGGGUGGCGAGUGGCGGACGGGUGAGGAAUACAUCGGAAUCUACUCUGUCGUGGGGGAUAACGUAGGGAAACUUACGCUAAUACCGCAUACGACCUACGGGUGAAAGUGGGGGACCGCAAGGCCUCACGCGAUUGAAUGAGCCGAUGUCGGAUUAGCUAGUUGGCGGGGUAAAGGCCCACCAAGGCGACGAUCCGUAGCUGGUCUGAGAGGAUGAUCAGCCACACUGGAACUGAGACACGGUCCAGACUCCUACGGGAGGCAGCAGUGGGGAAUAUUGGACAAUGGGCGCAAGCCUGAUCCAGCCAUACCGCGUGGGUGAAGAAGGCC
rnacentral:rRNA from 1 species